rnacentral:rRNA from 2 species
UGGGCGAGAGACCGAUAGCAAACAAGUACCGCGAGGGAAAGAUGAAAAGGACUUUGAAAAGAGAGUCAAAGAGUGCUUGAAAUUGUCGGGAGGGAAGCGAAUGGGGGCCGGCGAUGCGCCUCGGUCGGAUGUGGAACGGUUAAAGCUGGUCCGCCAAUCGACUCGGGGCGUGGAUCGGUGCGGAUUGGGACGGAGGCCAAAGCCCAGGAAGUCGUUAAGCCUGUGGAGACGCCUUCGCCCCGAUCGUGGCUGGCAGCGCGCGCCUCUUGGGCGUGCUUCGGCAUCUGCGCGCUCCCGG